CCCCAGACUCCUACGGGAGGCAGCAGUGGGGAAUAUUGCACAAUGGGGGAAACCCUGAUGCAGCGACGCCGCGUGAGUGAAGAAGUAUUUCGGUAUGUAAAGCUCUAUCAGCAGGGAAGAUAAUGACGGUACCUGACUAAGAAGCCCCGGCUAACUACGUGCCAGCAGCCGCGGUAAUACGUAGGGGGCAAGCGUUAUCCGGAUUUACUGGGUGUAAAGGGUGCGUAGGUGGCAUGGCAAGUCAGAAGUGAAAGCCCGGGGCUCAACCCCGCGGACUGCUUUUGAAACUGUCAGGCUGGAGUACAGGAGAGGUAAGCGGAAUUCCUAGUGUAGCGGUGAGAUGCGUAGAUAUUAGGAGGAACACCGGUGGCGAAGGCGGCCUGCUGGACGGCGACUGACGUUGAGGCUCGAAAGCGUGGGGAGCGAACAGGAUUAGAUACCCUAGUA
rnacentral:rRNA from 1 species